rnacentral:SRP_RNA from 1 species
GCGGGUAAGUCCUGUACGACCAGCUCCUGUUUAAUCCCCCAGGGUGGGAACACAGCAAGGGUAGACGGUUGUAGCGGUGCGAUACAGGUAGCUUACCCACU